rfam:Polaromonas sp. CG9_12 genome assembly, contig: scf7180000000016
GAAGCCUGCCAGACCGCCGCUGGUGCAAUUUCCGAAAGGAAGCACUGGAGGAACGUCCGGACUGCACAGGACAGCGUAGGAGGUAAUACCUCUCCACCGCGAGGUGAGGAUCAGAGCAACAGAGACGAGCCGGUUUAGUCCGGGUGAAACGGGCAAUCUCUACGCGCAGCAACACCAAAUAGGCCAGCGUUGACGUGGUUCCGCGGAGCUGGCGGGUAGGUGGCACCGAGCCGGGUGGGCGACCCCCGGCCCAGAUUAAUGGCGGUCACACCGGGCAACCGAAAGGAAGCCUGGCGCACAGAAUCCGGCUUAUCGGCGGGCUUCACAC